rnacentral:misc_RNA from 1 species
GUAGGUGAACCUGCGGAAGGAUCAUUAUUGAAAUAAACCUGAUGGGUUGUUGCUGGCUCUUUAGGGAGCAUGUGCACACCUUGUCAUCUUUAUAUCUCCACCUGUGCACCUUUUGUAGACCCCUCCAGGUCUAUGUCGCUUCAUUUACCCCCAAUGUAUGUUGAUAGAAUGUCAUGGAAAAUAUAUAUAUAUAUAUACAACUUUCAGCAACGGAUCUCUUGGCUCUC